AGGGCUUCCUCCAGGUAGAUUUCAAGAUCUUGUAGGCAAGUUGGGAAUGAUUGAUAUUCAUUUACCAACUUGAGGGGGAGUGUUGUAAUUAGAGAAGAUUUAUUUAGAAUCUUCCUAAUUAGAGAAAGUAGUCAUACAAUCUUUUAUUUUAUUUUGUUUCCUAGUUUCUCUAUUUCCUUUUCUAGGAGAAUUAGAUGGUUACAAAUAGAGGAUAUGAGAAUGUAUUUUCAAUCAAUUCUAAAUAAUAAAUU
rnacentral:lncRNA from 1 species